UACGUAGGGUGCAAGCGUUGUCCGGAAUUAUUGGGCGUAAAGAGCUCGUAGGCGGUUUGUCGCGUCUGCUGUGAAAAUCCAGGGCUUAACCCUGGACCUGCAGUGGGUACGGGCAGACUAGAGUGCGGUAGGGGAGAUCGGAAUUCCUGGUGUAGCGGUGAAAUGCGUUGAUAUUAUGGGGAACACCAAAAGCGAAGGCAGCAGACUGGAGCACUCCUGACACUGAAACAUGAAAGCGUGGGUCGCGAAUGGG
rnacentral:rRNA from 1 species